UGCACCGAGGCCGCGCGCUCCCGGCGGCGCGGCCCAAACUUUGCCCACCGCCUUCUCUGCGCUCGCUGCGUUUCGUUGCCUGCUGCGUCUUUGGGGAUUCUCUGCUCACCCGGACCUCUCAGAGCCACCUAGUCAGCCCGGCUCUGUGCGCCACCUCUCCUAACCUGGUCCUCGAACGCCGGUGCUUCCACCUUUCCGCUGCGCCCUGCCCUCUCCUCGUCCCCGCCACUUUUUGCUAGUUUUCUGAAGCCCUCCGCGCAAACUCUGCCGAGUCUACCAAACUCUCCAGACCCUGCCCGGGGCGACAGUGGGCGGCACAGUGGACCGGACAGUGGGUAGAUUCCUACUUCCAUGUUAACUUCUCCAAAGCCACUUGGGUGUUUCCGUGCCUCAGGGAAAAACGGGAGAAAAAGUCUUUUUACUAAAAGGUUCCAAUUCAGUCUGGACGCUAAGAUUGUGACCGCUGGAGGAUGCCUGCGCUCAGAUUUGCACAGCUCUGCAUAGGAAGUCGUCUUCCAGCGCCUCAGCCCGCCCUCUUGCAGCUCCUUCCACUCCUCCGCACAUUGGCCCCUCAGGCCACUCAGUCCCAGCUGACUGGGGUCAAUUGGGUGUGUACAGACCAAACCUCCAGAAAAUUGUUCCCGGUUUCCUAAUCUAGAACUGGCUUUUCUCUGUGACUUUUAACAAGAGACUGAACCUGGACACUGAUGGGCACUUGUUUCUUUU